GAUGAACGCUAGCGGGAGGCUUAACACAUGCAAGUCGAGGGGCAGCAUAGGGUAGCAAUACUCUGAUGGCGACCGGCAAACGGGUGAGUAACGCGUAUGUAACCUACCCUGUACAGGGGGAUAACCCGGAGAAAUUCGGACUAAUAUCCCAUAACAAUAUCCGGGGGCAUCUUUGGAUAUUUAAAGUUCCGGCGGUACGGGAUGGGCAUGCGUAACAUUAGCUAGUUGGUAAGGUAACGGCUUACCAAGGCUUUGAUGUUUAGGGGUCCUGAGAGGGUGGUCCCCCACACUGGUACUGAGACACGGACCAGACUCCUACGGGAGGCAGCAGUGAGGAAUAUUGGUCAAUGGGCGCAAGCCUGAACCAGCCAUCCCGCGUGCAGGAAGACGGCGCUAUGCGUUGUAAACUGCUUUUCCAGGGAGAGAAACUUGCGCACGUGUUGCGCAAUUGACGGUACCCUGGGAAUAAGCAUCGGCUAACUCCGUGCCAGCAGCCGCGGUAAUACGU
rnacentral:rRNA from 1 species